rnacentral:rRNA from 1 species
AUUGAACGCUGGCGGCAUGCCUUACACAUGCAAGUCGAACGGUAACAGGUCUUCGGAUGCUGACGAGUGGCGAACGGGUGCGUAAUACAUCGGAACGUGCCCGAUCGUGGGGGAUAACGAGGCGAAAGCUUUGCUAAUACCGCAUACGAUCUACGGAUGAAAGCGGGGGAUCUUCGGACCUCGCGCGGACGGAGCGGCCGAUGGCAGAUUAGGUAGUUGGUGGGAUAAAAGCUUACCAAGCCGACGAUCUGUAGCUGGUCUGAGAGGAUGAUCAGCCACACUGGGACUGAGACACGGCCCAGACUCCUACGGGAGGCAGCAGUGGGGAAUUUUGGACAAUGGGCGAAAGCCUGAUCCAGCCAUGCCGCGUGCAGGAUGAAGGCCUUCGGGUUGUAAACUGCUUUUGUACGGAACGAAAAGCCUCUUUCUAAUAAAGAGGGGUCAUGACGGUACCGUAAGAAUAAGCACCGGCUAACUACGUG